UACGUAGGGGGCAAGCGUUGUCCGGAUUUAUUGGGCGUAAAGAGCGUGUAGGCGGCCGUACAGGUCAGCUGUGAAAACUCGAGGCUCAACCUCGAGACGUCGGUUGAAACCGUACGGCUAGAGUCCGGAAGAGGAGAGUGGAAUUCCCGGUGUAGCGGUGAAAUGCGCAGAUAUCGGGAAGAACACCCGUGGCGAAGGCGGCUCUCUGGGACUGUACUGACGCUGAGACGCGAAAGCGUGGGGAGCGAACAGG
rnacentral:rRNA from 1 species